AACGUAGUAUGCACAAAAUUGAGAUGUUUCUCAUGCAAGAUAUGCCUCAACUAUAGAGCCUUCCACCAUAUAUUUAUUUUAGGUCCCCUUUUCAAUUUUUCAAUUGUCCUGCAUAAUUUUAAGAUUAGGUGUUUACUAUAUAAAAAUAUAUGUAUGAUUUGAAGAAUUAUUUAAUAAAUUAAAUGUUGCAAUUGUUUACUACUCGCCUGAAUGCAUCCACCUAGUUUGAAUUAGACCGCCUAACUGAGCUUCGUGGACAAGGUGAAUGGGAAGAUGUUCCAUCACAUCAAAGAACUCAAGUUGAAAAAUCUUCUCCAACUUGUUGGUGAUAACAAAAUAUUAUUUUCCAUUCGAGCCUGAUUUUCUUCCUUUAAUUUGGUGGAACAUAAGUCUUUAAACUGUUAUCGAUUUUCAUAUGUUUUCAGGCAAACCAAUAAAAGCAAUUGGAAGUAAUUGUUCCAUAAAAACCUAACAAUCAUGGCUUUUUAUUCAAUGUAAGAUACCUUAUGACAUAUCAACCCUCUUUCUCAAAUUUAAGACAUAUUCAUCGAGCAUCUUUAAACUUUGGACCCACUCAUAUAUUUUUUUAUUUUGGUCCAACUUGAAUGUAUAACUAGCCUUGGGCUUAAGAAAAUUAUCAUUUGUCCCCUCUUACAAGUGUAAUUCCCUAUACUUGCAAUAUUCUAGUAAAUCAAGUCUAGCCUUAGGAUUAUCCUGUCUUGCCUGUAAUAUCUAUAACUGUGUUAAACAAGUUAUCAAAAUAGUUCUUCUCAGUAUGCAUGACAUCAAUAUUAAGUCUAAGUAAAUUAUCUGUCCAAUAUUCUAACUCCCAAAAUAUACUUUGCUUAGUCCAAUUAUGCGAAACGUCAUAUCUAUCAAACAUAUACAUUGGUUCCUCGCUAACUUUUGGAGAAUCCUGAACUAUCUCCCAAAUGUCAUGACUAUAUAACUUUGGAGGUGGACCAUCAUGUUCAGUUCUAUUCUUUCUGAAUGCGUUCUUGAGUUUGCUAAACUCAUGAUUAGGUGGCAAGAAACACCAAUGACUAUCAAAGCAUGAAUUUUUCCUACCAUGUCUCAAUGUGAAAUAUUUCGUAUUUUCCAUGCAAUAUGGACAGGUCAACUUUUCAGCUGUCAUCUACCCAGAAAAUAUUCCAUAAGCAAGGAAAUUAUUAAUAAUCUACAUUAUAUAUGCAUGCAAAUUAAAAUUCUAUUUAAGUGAAAUGUCUCAAGUUUCAACCCCCUCAUGCCAUAAAAUUUGUAGUUCAUCAAUCAAAGGUUUCAAAUAAACAUCUAUUCCUCUUUUUAAAUUACGCGGGCCAGGAAUAACACAAUUUAGAAAUAUAUAUAGACUAGUCAUCAACAUUUAAGGAGGAACAUUAUACGGGGUAAUAAAUACAGGCCAACAUGAAUAUGGCACAACACUAACAGAAAAAGGUGAGAAACCACCGGCACAUAAUCCCAAUCAAAUAUUUUGUGGCUCAGCUACAUAAUCUGGAUAAGUUGUAUCAAAAUACUUCCAAGCCUCUCCAUCAGAUGGAUGAAACAUAACACCAGUGGGCCUUCUAUUUUCACUGUACCAUCCCAUAUGAGGAGAUGAUUUGUUUGAAGCAUACAACCUCUUCAACCUUGAUAUUAGAGGUAAAUAAUACAUCGCCUUAAUAGCAAUUUUAUUUCUACGACAACUACGCUUAUAGUGAGGGUGUUGACAAAACUUACAGGACUCUAGGUUAGCAUCUUCCUUAAAGUAUAACAUGCAACCAUUUUCACAACAAUCAAUUCUAAUCGAGGAGAGACCUCUACACUUGCAAUAUUCUAGUAAAUCAAGUCUAGCCUUAGGAUUAUCCUGUCUUGCCUGUAAUAUCUAUAACUGUGUUAAACAAGUUAUCAAAAUAGUUCUUCUCAGUAUGCAUGACAUCAAUAUUAAGUCUAAGUAAAUUAUCUGUCCAAUAUUCUAACUCCCAAAAUAUACUUUGCUUAGUCCAAUUAUGCGAAACGUCAUAUCUAUCAAACAUAUACAUUGGUUCCUCGCUAACUUUUGGAGAAUCCUGAACUAUCUCCCAAAUGUCAUGACUAUAUAACUUUGGAGGUGGACCAUCAUGUUCAGUUCUAUUCUUUCUGAAUGCGUUCUUGAGUUUGCUAAACUCAUGAUUAGGUGGCAAGAAACACCAAUGACUAUCAAAGCAUGAAUUUUUCCUACCAUGUCUCAAUGUGAAAUAUUUUGUAUUUUCCAUGCAGUAUGGACAGGCCAACUUUUCAGUUGUCAUCUACCCAGACAACAUUCCAUAAGCAAGGAAAUUAUUAAUAAUCUACAUUAUAUAUGCAUGCAAAUUACAAUUCUGUUUAAGUGAAAUGUCUCAAGUUUCAGCCCCCUCAUGCCUUAAAAUUUGUAGUUCAUCAAUCAAAGGUUUCAAAUAAACAUCUAUUCCUCUUUUUAAAUUACGCGGGCCGGGAAUGACACAAUUUAGAAAUAUAUAUAGACUAGUCAUCAACAUUUAAGGAGGAACAUUAUAUGGGGUAAUAAAUACAGGCCAACAUGAAUAUGGCACAACACCAACAGAAAAAGGUGAGAAACCACCGGCACAUAAUCCCAAUCAAAUAUUUUGUGGCUCAACUACAUAAUCUGGAUAAGUUGUAUCAAAAUACUUCCAAGCCUCUCCAUCAGAUGGAUGAAACAUAACACCAGUGGGCCUUCUAUUUUCACUGUAUCAUCCCAUAUGAGGAGAUGAUUUGUUUGAAGCAUACAACCUCUUCAACCUUGAUAUUAGAGGUAAAUAAUACAUCUCCUUAAUAGCAAUUUUAUUUCUACGACAACUACGCCUCACUUUGAGGGUGUUGAUAAAACUUACAGGACUCUAGGUUAGCAUCUUCCUUAAAGUAUAACAUGCAACCAUUUUCACAACAAUCAAUUCUAAUCGAGGAGAGACCUAGCUUUGACACCAUUCGUUUUCCUGAUAGAAAGAAUCAGGACCCUCUAAAGCGCGGUCAGCUAACUCUUUAAUAAGGUCUAUCAUUGAGUCCAUUCCUCCUUCAGCAAUAUUCCAAUCAGAUUUAAUACUUAAUAAUCUAACAACAAUAGACAAUCGAGAGUGCGAACACCCGUCAAACAAAGGAUGACUAAAAACACCCAAUUGUUCAUAAAAUCGGUGUAACAUCAUUCACCAUUUCUUCCAUCCUAGUACUUGAUAGUUAUUAUGCCUACAAACCUACUACUUUUACCAACAACAAAGUUAUAUUGCCCAACACCACCAUGACUAGUACGCAAUCUUAAAAAGUCCUCAUGAAACCUGUUUCUAUAAAGAUGAUCCUUCACAACUUUUUCUUUUAGAAUGCUUGUACCAUCACAUUUAACACAAGGACAACAAAUCGCCCGAAAAAGUGACCAAUCAUUAAGUGUUUUGGCAUGUUCAAUAAAUCGAUUGACACCUUCAACAAAUUCCACUCUAAGACCCAUUCUAUUAUCAUUAUUUCGUCGAUAUAUCCAGCUAUAAUCAGGUUCCAUCUACACAAUCAAUCACAUUCAAGUAAUUAGUUCAAGUCACAAAAGUUCACAUUUUCAAGUCACUAAUUCACUUCUCAAGUGAUGAUGUACUUUACUAAAUUCAAAAUGAAAAGUCCACAUUCAAAUACCUAUACUUAAAACAUUUUCAAGUCACUAAUUCACUUCUCAAGUGACCACACCUUACUAAAUUCAAAACAAAAGUUCACCUUUCAAGUAAAUACACCUAAACAUUUCAAGUCACUAAUUCACUUCACAAGUUACCAAACUUAACUAAAUUCAAAAUAAAAGUUCACCUUUCAAGUAGCUACACUUAAACAUUUUCAAGUCACUAAUUCACUUCUCAUGUGACACCCUUCACUAAAUUCAAAACAAAAGUUCACAUUUCAAUUACCUACACUUAAACAUUUUUAAGUCACUAAUUCACUUCUCAAGCGAUCACACUUUACUAAAUUCGAAACAAAAGUUCACCUUUCAAGUACCUAAAUUCAAAACACGUCACUAAUUCAUAAUUCAAGUAACUACACCUAAACAUUCCAAGUCACUAAUUCAUUUCACAGGUUACCAAACUUACUCAAUUCAAAACAAAUGUUUACCUUUCAAGUACCUAAAUUCAAAACACAAGACACUAAUUCAUAAUUAAAGUAACUACACGUAAAGAUUUCAAGUCACUAAUUCACUUCUCAAGUGACCACACUUUAGUAAAUUCAAAACACAAGACACUAAUUCAUAAUUAAAGUAACUACACGUAAAGAUUUCAAGUCACUAAUUCACUUCUCAAGUGACCACACUUUAGUAAAUUCAAAACACAAGACACUAAUUCAUAAUUAAAGUAACUACACGUAAAGAUUUCAAGUCACUAAUUCACUUCUCAAGUGACCACACUUUAGUAAAUUCAAAACACAAGACACUAAUUCAUAAUUAAAGUAACUACACGUAAAGAUUUCAAGUCACUAAUUCACUUCUCAAGUGACCACACUUUAGUAAAUUCAAAACACAAGUUCACAUUUCAAGUCACUACACUUGAUCACUUUCAAGUAACUGAUUUAUUUAUCUUAUAAGUCAAACAAUUGAAUAAGUUUAACAAAGCAAAUAAAUAGAGGCGUCGCAUGUCCCUCUCGCACCAUAUAAUCAUCACAAAAUUCCUAUGGCUUUCAAAGCCUUCUACAACGUACAAUCCCACCUUAAUACUACAUUUAAAGACUUCAUUAUACAAAAAUAGAGAGAAAUCAACUCACCUUUGUUUGGCCUAAAUUUACAAGAAAGAGACAAGCGAUCACCAAAAAAUAGCAAAGCAAUACUUUUUCCGAAUUCGGAUUCUGUCAAACAACAACAUCAACUUACUUGCUACUUCACAUCAAAGGGCAUAAAUUAGGAUAGGCCAUGUUUAAAUAGACAAGAAGCAAUUCAAAAUCCCCAACAACACAACCUAUAUAGUCAAAUCCUCUAUAAAAUUACUACUACUUCACAACCCAAUCAGUGCAUUAUCACUAUCUCUAUACAGUCAAAAGUCAAUAUAUCUUCAAAUAUCAAUAUAUCUUCAAAUCAUAUUUGGAGACAGUCAAUGCCUCACCACACUAAACCAAGAUUUGAUUUUUACAAUUGAGAAAUCAAGAAAUGGACUUGCUUUCUCAAGAAACUUCACAAAUAGGCCCAAAAUUUCGUGUUUUAAUUCUUUACUAGUGAAAACAAGAAUGAACUAACACCCCACAAGGCAAAAUUAGUUCUUUUCAGCAUAAGAGAUCAAAUAGACAGUGAUUUUCUUGAAAUCACCAGGAAAACUCAAGAAACCAGAUACCCAAAAAUUAAGCCAAAAAUAAUGUUACUGCAAAAAUCAGCUGAAAAAUACAUGUUGUCGUCCGUGAGACAUACUAUUGUGAGUUACUGUGGUCACUGAGACGAGGUUGUUACUGUCGUGGUUGAGACGAUGAUGUUGCUGUUAUGUCUGAGACAACGAUGUCGCUGUCGUCGGUGACUGAGGUCGCUGACUUGCUGCCGUCGGUGACUAAGGUCACUGUUGUCGGUGACUGAGGUCACCAUCGUCGUGGCUGAGACGAUGAUUUUGCUGUCGUGGUUGAGACGACGAUGUCGCUAUCAUCACUUACUAAGGUCGCAGACUUGCUGCUGUCGGUGACUGAGGUCGCUGUCGUCGAUGGGAGAUUGGGUUGGUGAGCUGAGGGUAGUUGUAAGGGUAUUCUGAUUAGGCUAAUUAGAAAGGAAUUUCGGAAUUGAGUCCGACUGGGUCAAUAAUUGGGUAUUACAAAAUUGUUGACAAAAUUAAU
rnacentral:lncRNA from 1 species